AUUGAACGCUGGCGGCAUGCCUUACACAUGCAAGUCGAACGGCAGCACGGGAGCAAUCCUGGUGGCGAGUGGCGAACGGGUGAGUAAUGUAUCGGAACGUGCCCAGUCGUGGGGGAUAACGUAGCGAAAGCUACGCUAAUACCGCAUACGAUCUGGGGAUGAAAGCGGGGGACCGUAAGGCCUUGCGCGAUUGGACCGGCCGAUAUCAGAUUAGGUAGUUGGUGGGGUAAAGGCCUACCAAGCCGACGAUCUGUAGCUGGUCUGAGAGGACGACCAGCCACACUGGGACUGAGACACGGCCCAGACUCCUACGGGAGGCAGCAGUGGGGAAUUUUGGACAAUGGGCGCAAGCCUGAUCCAGCAAUGCCGCGUGCAGGAUGAAGGCCUUCGGGUUGUAAACUGCUUUUGUACGGAGCGAAAAGGCUCUCUCUAAUACAGGGGGCUCAUGACGGUACCGUAAGAAUAAGCACCGGCUAACUACGUGCCAGCCGCCGCAGUAAUAC
rnacentral:rRNA from 1 species